UGGGGAAUAUUGGACAAUGGGCGAAAGCCUGAUCCAGCAAUGCCGCGUGAGUGAUGAAGGCCUUAGGGUUGUAAAGCUCUUUUACCCGGGAUGAUAAUGACAGUACCGGGAGAAUAAGCUCCGGCUAACUCCGUGCCAGCAGCCGCGGUAAUACGGAGGGAGCUAGCGUUGUUCGGAAUUACUGGGCGUAAAGCGCACGUAGGCGGCUUUGUAAGUUAGAGGUGAAAGCCUGGAGCUCAACUCCAGAACUGCCUUUAAGACUGCAUCGCUUGAAUCCAGGAGAGGUGAGUGGAAUUCCGAGUGUAGAGGUGAAAUUCGUAGAUAUUCGGAAGAACACCAGUGGCGAAGGCGGCUCACUGGACUGGUAUUGACGCUGAGGUGCGAAAGCGUGGGGAGCAAACAGGAUUAGAUACCCCGGUAGUCCCUGAGCGGGCUGGCAAGGCGCAU
rnacentral:rRNA from 1 species